rnacentral:rRNA from 1 species
CCUGAACGCUGGCGGCGUGGCUAAGACAUGCAAGUCGAACGGAAAGGCCCCGCAAGGGGUACUCGAGUGGCGAAAGGGGCAGUAAGGCGUGGGCAACCUACCCCGGGGAUGGGGACACUGAGGUAACACUCGUAAAUUCCCAGCGAUGUGGCGAGCGCGCAUGUGUUUGUCACGAAAUGAAUUUCGCCUCGGGAGGGGCUCACGUGGUAUUAGCUUGUUGGUAGGGUAACGGCCUACCAAGGCAAAGAUGCCUAGCAGGUGUGAGAGCACGACCUGCGCCACUGGCACUGAGACACUGGCCAGACACCUACGGGUGGCUGCAGUCGAGGAUCUUCGGCAAUGGGCGCAAGCCUGACCGAGCGACGCCGCGUGUGCGAUGAAGGCCUUCGGGUUGUAAAGCACUGUCGAGGGGGAGGAAAGCCGAAAGGUCUGACCUAUCCCUGGAGGAAGCACGGGCUAAGUUCGUGC